UUAGGUACGCAGGAGCUGAACCAUUUAGGGCCUUAUAGGUAAGUAAUGACAAUUUGUAACUGAUACGGAACUUAAUAGGUAGUCAGUGUUCUAUUUGUGAACGGAACAGUAUCGUUUUUUUGUUUGUGACUGUUAGCUGUAGCUAAAUACUCUGAUUUGUAUGAUGAGAACUUAGUUAUAACAGAAAUUAUUUGCUUUAUUUUCUAGAGUUGCUUCGUGUAAUUACACAGCCUAAUUUCGUGAACCUGACUCAGGACGAGGGUGAAAGUGAUGACUGUGCUGGUCCUAGCAAUUGUAGCAAUAGCAGAAACCCAUCACACAGCCCCUUUGAGAAAGAAAAGGACGGUUGUAUCAUUCCAACCAACAUAGAGAGCAAAUUCACACACAGAUAGCUCGGCAGAGUCUGUCAAAUCCGCUGACGAUGCUCAGCCCGAGAUAGAUCAAGAUGCUGUAUCCAAUGGUGUGGACAAUGCCGCUAACUGGACUGAUACUCAAAUAAAUGACUGGCAAAAUGCUGAUUGGUCGAGUGUACGCAGCGAGGAUUCGGCACAGACGGGUAGGCAGAGUCCGUGUCCGGGGAGGAGCCAAGAUUAAGGUCUGAGUUUCGAAGUAAUGAUGCUCGGAAUGAUUCUGUAAAUGAGAGAAUUGCAACUUUGUUCGAAGAGUUGAUUAAAAGACAGGACUCUUUGUACAAUGAGAUUCUUAAUAGACAGGAGGCCUUCUUCACUGAAAUAAAUAGCAACGUGGACGCCAGACUUCGUGAGCUUCAAAACAAUCUACAGCAGUCUAUAGAGAUUUGUCUGCAGCGGUUGCAAGAGCAAAUGUCAGAAAAUUACUCUUCGGUACAAGAGGUAUUACAAUCGAGGGCUAAGAGAGAGAACGCUGAUCGUAUAGUUGCUGUGUGCAAUUAAUGGACGUCUUCAACAUCGAUAGACAAUGAUUUUCUAUAUUAAUACUGAUCUGUUUAUGUGUGCUGUACCUACCUACACUCUGUUGUAUGCUAUAUACUUUUAAUGUAUCGCGAUUUAUUUUAUAUUAUCAUUUGUAUGUAAUCUUUUUGCUGGUAUUUAAUUGUACUCUUUUUUUCUUUUUUUUUAAGAGAUCAUUUUGAUUUGUAGUUUUUAAGUGACCAUCUUCAAAUGUAGCAUUCUCCUAUACUUGAUUUGUAGU